rnacentral:rRNA from 1 species
CCUACGGGAGGCAGCAGUGAGGAAUAUUGGUCAAUGGGCGCGAGCCUGAACCAGCCAAGUAGCGUGAAGGAUGACUGCCCUAUGGGUUGUAAACUUCUUUUAUAUGGGAAUAAAAUGCACCACGUGUGCGGUUUUGUAUGUACCUUAUGAAUAAGGAUCGGCUAACUCCGUGCCAGCAGCCGCGGUAAUACGGAGGAUCCGAGCGUUAUCCGGAUUUAUUGGGUUUAAAGGGAGCGUAGGCGGAUUGUUAAGUCAGUUGUGAAAGUUUGCGGCUCAACCGUAAAAUUGCAGUUGAAACUGGCAGUCUUGAGUACAGGAGAGGUAGGCGGAAUUCGUGGUGUAGCGGUGAAAUGCUUAGAUAUCACGAAGAACUCCGAUUGCGAAGGCAGCAUACUGGACUGUAACUGACGCUGAUGCUCGAAAGUGUGGGUAUCAAACAGGAUUAGAUACCCCAGUAGUC